rnacentral:rRNA from 1 species
UACGUAGGGUGCGAGCGUUGUCCGGAAUUAUUGGGCGUAAAGCGCUUGUAGGUGGCUCGUUACGUCGGGAGUGAAAACCUGCGGCUUAACCGCAGGCCUGCUUCCGAUACGGGCGAGCUAGAGUUCGGCAGGGGAGACUGGAAUUCCUGGUGUAGCGGUGGAAUGCGCAGAUAUCAGGAGGAACACCGGUGGCGAAGGCGGGUCUCUGGGCCGAUACUGACACUGAGAAGCGAAAGCGUGGGGAGCGAACAGG